AUUUUUACAAAUGAGUUUAUCAUAACACAAUGAAACGAUUUCUACACAGAAGAGCCUGAUUUCUCGAAUGUAGCUUUAAAUCUCUGCUAUCGUCUUCCUCAUUUUCUUCUCCAAUUUCCCCCAAAUCUCAAACCCUAACAUUUUCUUCACUCACACAAUCAAAAUCUUUUCGUUUCAAAUUUCCCCAAAAUCUCAAACCCUUGAAAUUCUACUCGGCCCUCAGCAGUCACUCAUUAUUUGUUAUUCUCGCUUCUAUUUAGCACAGGAAAAGGCACCAACUGCCAAAAAGAAGUUCUCAACCAAAGAAGCCAAGCAGUGGAGAUUGCAUUCUACAACGCAUCAUGUAAAGAAGCUGAACAACGUAGUCCCGAUUCUAUACUUGAACCUGUGUUUGUAGAUGACCUCCAAGGCAUUGGUGGAAAAUCUUCCAGCUCCUUCCCGGAUUCACGCAGUAAUUUAUCCACCAGAACUUCUGGUUCAGCUGGGGUACAUUCCGAUAAAAUAAUCUUGAAAAGCUUUCUCACCUGACUACCUGUUUGGAUCACUGCGGCUUUUUUCUCAAGCUCAGAAAUGAAUCUGCACCUGCUACAACAGUCAGCAAUAAUCGAAGAUAGUACAAUUCUCCUACGUUAGGGCUAACAAAAUGGAUUCUCGCAAUAGUAAAGCCUUGUUGCCUGAUUUUCCAUCUUUUUUCCUGUUUAAGCCAAACAAAGUGUUGUGGGAAAUCUUGGGAGAUUCUGGAUUUCUAUCACCACAUGGUCCAUGUACCAUACACUUUCUAACCGUGUCGAAGAGAACUGGAUUUGUUUCCUCACUGGGAAAUUCUGCUGAAACAAAUUUAUCGACUUGCUCCACUAUAAUGCAUGAGACAGAUCAUAUAUGUAAAGCUGGGAGUACACAGGAUCAACUCCGUCCUUCGACGUCAGAGAUCCAUACGUAUGUCGUAAUUCACCAUGUAUAGAAAAGCACCAUGGACCUUUUCCUUUCGGGGCUCUUGUGUCAUAUUUGCAUCCGAGACUGGUAUAUGCGUUUGCUGCAUUAUAAUUUCUGAUAUUUUUACGGAAGUCUUUGGAACCUUCGAGUAAUUCUCUUAUAGCCGUUGGGGGUUCACGCAGUGGUGGUAAACGAAUUUUUCCUUUGUGACAACAUGUGACAAAUUUAGGUUGCUUGAGGGACGAAUCACUUGACUUCUCAUUGAUCCAAUGCAACGCUUUGCAAUUUGGGCAUUGAACAUCCAUUUUCCCCAGGAAAUUUCUUCCAUCGCGAUUAAUUCUACGUCUAGUUGUAUGUUUAUUAUUCGCUGUUGUAGUUAUUAUUUGCAUAUCAUCGUCACUUUUUUCAUCUGAUGAGUCGUAGUGAUCAGUGUAUUCAUCUGAUGAGUCUACUUCCGGAAUAGACCUAUUUAAACAUAAGAAUAAAAAUCAGUAAAUCACUAAUGCAAAUAUUACUAAACUUAGAGGUUAUAUUUUUCAA